rnacentral:rRNA from 1 species
GGAGCGGCCGAUAUCGGAUUAGCUAGUUGGUGGGGUAACGGCUCACCAAGGCGACGAUCCGUAGCUGGUUUGAGAGGACGACCAGCCACACUGGGACUGAGAUACGGCCCAGACUCCUACGGGAGGCAGCAGUGGGGAAUAUUGCACAAUGGGCGAAAGCCUGAUGCAGCGACGCCGCGUGAGGGAUGGAGGCCUUCGGGUUGUAAACCUCUUUCGCUCAUGGUCAAGCCGCAACUUAGGGUUGUGGUGAGGGUAGUGGGUAAAGAAGCGCCGGCUAACUACGUGCCAGCAGCCGCGGUAAUACGUAGGGCGCGAGCGUUGUCCGGAAUUAUUGGGCGUAAAGGGCUUGUAGGCGGUUGGUCGCGUCUGCCGUGAAAUCCUCUGGCUUAACUGGGGGCGUGCGGUGGGUACGGGCUGACUUGAGUGCGGUAGGGGAGACUGGAACUCCUGGUGUAGCGGUGGAAUGCGCAGAUAUCAGGAAGAACACCGGUGGCGAAGGCGGGUCUCUGGGCCGUUACUGACGCUGAGGAGCGAAAGCGUGGGGAGCGAACAGGAUUAGAUACCCUGGUAGUCCACGCUGUAAACGUUGGGCACUAGGUGUGGGGGCCACCCGUGGUUUCUGCGCCGUAGCUAACGCUUUAAGUGCCCCGCCUGGGGAGUACGGCCGCAAGGCUAAAACUCAAAGGAAUUGACGGG